CAAGGCUCUGCGGACGAGGAAAGAGAUCCACAUCCAACUUUGCUGCCAAGUCUGUGAGGCCUAAAUCACAACCCUUACAGACCCACCUCUGAAAGGACACAAACCUGGCAGCUCCUUUGGAAGCAGUCUGACUGCAUUUAGCUGUUCUGAAUGCAAGCAUCCACAGGAAAUAAUCAGCAAUGACAGAAUAUUGACUGUAAACCCGGCAAACUUCCUGGGGAAAGAAUGACAGAAUAAUAAAAAGGAAAACAUAAGAUUGCAGGUAAGUACUCACUUCAGUAACUUUGUAUUUGACAUGAUGAGUUCCUUCCAGUUAACAAAGAUCAGCCCCAUUUCUCCUUCUGUGAGACAGCUUGAAUCAGCCAUUGGUUUUUGGAAAACCUGCAGCCAAAAAAUGAGCAAUUCUUCAGAGAACAAAAACAGCUCAGCCUCUUUGUUAGCCCAGCAGUAACUUUUUUUGAAUGCUCAAUGUCUAAUUUCUCAGCAGUUAAAAGCAAUUUCUUACUAGCAUUUGUGACAGCUGUUUCCCCUGAGCGUGUGACCCUAUCUGACACCAGCAUCAGCACUUGCAAAGUGAGGACAAGCACUGGGACCUGCAGGCUGACAGCUCAGCAGAAGCAUUCCUUUGAUUUCAGGGUCAAUCACUGCACAAAUUAAACUUGGGCAUUGCUCCUCUCCCCUGACCCAGAGCACUCAGGGUCACCCUGUGUGCAGAACCACAGCUGCUCUCAGGGGCCCUCAGCACCUCAUCUCUGGGGAGCAGAGCACCCCUGUGACUUGACUAUUUAACAUCUGCCACACUUCAGCACACCAUUGUUCUAUACAGAGAGGUCAAGUUGGAUGCCCAGGAGCACUUAAUGCUGGCCUGUCCCUGCCCUGCUGAGAGAGGUGGUUUUGCUUCCAGAAGUAAGACUGGGGAGAAGGCACAUGAAAAGCUUAUAUGGUGCUUCUACAGCUCUGUGCAGCUCUGCUUGACACCUGGCCCCAGCCAUCAUCUUUUUACUAAACCUGAACACCUAAUAAUAAGAUUUGGAAAACAGGAAGGUCUUUGUAAGCUGAUGGGUUUCACAAAGUAGUGCUUUUGCCUGGUAAGCAAUCACAAAUCAUUCACUGGAAAGGGAGGUGCCCACACACCUUUCUUCCUCCAUCAUCUCACAACUCAUAAGAAUCCCUUCAUUGUAUUACUCAGUAUAAAGGUGUUGUUUUCCCAAAUGCACUUUCACAUCCAAGACAUCUCACCUCUACGACGAGCUGCAGAUCGUCCAUGUACCUUUCUUCCGUCUGAAUGAGCUCGUGGAUGUAGCCCUGCCUUUUCCUUUCCAUGGGCUGCAUGGUGUCAAGGCUCUGGAGAUCAGCACACCCUGCAGGAAGGAAGUCAGGAAUUCAGAUCCCACUCAAGGCAUUAAAUCUGAUAAUUUACAAAAUUGCAUCAGCAUUCAGCAGUCUAUGGCUCAGACUAUACAGGCACUGAUAAACCCUCUCUGCAGCAGCAGUGGGUUUCAAAAUCAAGUGAUUUAGCAAUUGACCCCCUCCCUUCUUUGUGUCACUUUUCAGUCUAUCACCUUUUUAUUUCUUUGAACACCCCUUGUACUGUGAUGCAGAAUAAGAGUUCUUAACUUCUUGCCUCUUCAUUUGUCUCAUGACUUUUCUCAUCUCUUCUGCCACACUGAUUUGAAAUUGUGAUUUUCUCUUACCUUGAGCAAUGUCUUUUUGAACUUGAUGAUCUUAAAGAUCUUUUCCAACCUUAAUGAUUCUAUGUUGUUUUUUGUGAGAUGAAGUCAUAGAAAAUGUGGCUGGUCCUGACUUAGGACAUUGUACCUUUAAUCCCCACCCCGUUUCUGAAGUUCUCUGACUUAGUUAUUAAUUUAUGAUACAGACCACCACUACAAAUUUGCAAAGCUGUAACACAACAUUGUAGUUGUGUAAUUCACAGCUGCACAACUUUUAUUUUUCUCAAAAUGAGCUGGAAAUACAUUUAAUUAUUUUCAUGCAUCAAGGAUGAAGAAUCAAAAUCAUGCACAGGAACACACUGACAGUCAAUAACACAAACUCAGUUACUCUCAGAACAUGCAAAUCCUGCAGCUUCACACGACUCUAUCUCUACUGGAUGUUAGUAAACAAGACAACAGUGUUCAAACUUUAGUAACCAAACCAAAAACUGGUAAAACCAGAGUGGUGAAUGUGCUUAGCUGGGUAAAGGAGAGCACAGAAAGUCAAUCUGAUCCCUCUUGUCAGCCAUCACAGCAGAAUAUUGCAAAGCAGCAGGGUGGGGGAAAAGGAAAAAAGAAGGAACAAUUACAGAGCAUUUGAGAACAUCCAUCUAUUGCUGCAUGUGAUGGCAUCAGACUGCAAUACCAGGUGAACUGUGGGUUUUGCAGGACAGCAGAAAGGACAUCACAGGGACUCACUUUGAUCCAGCAGUUCUAGAGGAACAAUACUUCAUGAAGGUUCACAGGAGUUGUGAAAGGCAGAACGACCUACAGCAGGAAGGGCUGUGUCUCCCUUGUCACCCUGAUACUCCUGGCACACAAGGAUGUGACUAUUCACUGCCAAGGUAUAGAUCUGCUCAUGGGAAGGUUAGUAAUAAAUUUGAGGGACUAAAAACAAGAAACACUAAACAUUAGGCUGAACUUGAUGUGACAGUGGCCCAAUGGAAACCUCACAGGCUCCUGAGCUUCCAACUACACCAGCAUCAAGGUGCUCUGAAAGAGCAUCUGUCAGCAGAAGAGAAACUCUUGCCAAGUGAAAUUUUAGGACAGCAUAACAAGGAAACCGUUUGAACAACACAAAGAAGUAAAACAGCAGCAAAGACAACAGCUACAUUGAAAAUCAGGUCUUUUCAGAUCUUUUUUGCACCCUAAGGAGGAUCACAGAUCUUGAGCUUUCUGACAGGUAUGAAAAAAACCCCACUUUUUAAGAAGAGAUGAGAGAUUGCAGCUCUUUUGAUCACACAGAAUACUCCUGGCCUUAGUUAUCCCCAAAGCUACAACCAGGCCAAAAUUAGAUGAGAAAAACGAGUGAAGUUACAAAUAAAAGUGAUUCCUGCAAAGUUUAAUGUCUUAGUCCAUUGAGACCGUCUGUGGCAAAUGUGCUACUUCUGGAUUCUUGUGUAACUCUUUAGUCUGUACAGGACUGAGUUUAGGCCCACCUGGUUACUAAGACAUGAAAUUCCAGGACAAUCCAAGGGCUUGCACAGAAACCAGGCAUUAAUUGCCCAGAUUUGGAAGUCUCAGCUUUGGCCAGUGGCUCCCUUUCCUGCUGCAAAGUGCACUCCUGUGACAGAAGCAGGGAUGGACUGAAGCGCCUGUUGGCUUGUCCCAGCUGCUGGAACAACCCAAAUGCUGGGAUUUGGGUCUGUAUCACACUGACCACUGAAAAUUGGGGCCAAGCCUGGGAGAGAAAUGGGUCCUUUUUAUGCAUUAAAAUGGAUAUGGUUUAUAAAUUCAUUAUCAGGUGCAAAAAAUUGAGUUACAUUAACUGGUUCCUGUACUAACCUUGUGUUUGGACUGUCAGCUUCUGGGAUGAAGGGACAAAUGCUACUUUGUAUUUAGUAUUUUAUAUAAUUUUAUUUAAACUCUAGUGUUUACUAGUGAAAACUGUCCCAAUUUUGAUAGGUCUGACGAUACCGGCAUAAAAACAUAUUAUGCAAUCCCCACAUUUGACUUUAGAGGGUGAAUUCAGGCAUUUGAGUCUGAAGGGAAAAACAAAAAAUAAAAGGAGAAUGAACCAGCCUA